rnacentral:rRNA from 1 species
GAGGUGUCGUAAGCUAACGCGUUAAGCAAGGCGCCUGGGGAGUACGACCGCAAGGUUAAAACUCAAAGGAAUUGGCGGGGGAGCGCACAACCGGUGGAGCAUGUGGUUUAAUUCGAGACAAAGCGAAGGACCUUACCUGGGCUUGACAUGUACCUGCACGUCCUAAGAAAUUAGGAUUUCUUCGAGAGUGGUACACAGGUGAUGCAUGGCUGUCGUCAGCUCGUGUCGUGAGACGUCCGCUUAAGUGCGGUAACGAGCGCAACCCUUGUCUUCAGUUACACGUAUCUGGAGAAACUGCCCUGCGUAUAGCAGGGAGGAAGGAGAGGACGACGUCAAGUCAGCAUGUCCCUUACGUCCAGGGCAACACACAUCCUACAAUGGCUACUACAACGGGUCGCGAUGAGGUAACUCUGAGCUAAUCCUUAAAAAAGUAGCCUCAGUUCAGAUUGUGGGCUGCAAUUCGCCCACAUGAAGUCGGAAUCGGUAGUAAUCGCAGAUCAGCAGGCUGC